rnacentral:rRNA from 1 species
GGGKUAAAGCACUGUUUCGGUGCGGGCUGGGAGACCGGUACCAAAUCGAGACAAACUCUGAAUACCCAGAGCACACAUUGCCAGUGAGACAGUGGGGGAUAAGCUUCAUUGUCAAGAGGGAAACAGCCCAGACCACCAGCUAAGGUCCCCAAAUCAUCGCUAAGUGAUAAAGGAGGUGAGAGUGCACAGACAACUAGGAGGUUUGCCUAGAAGCAGCCACCCUUGAAAGAGUGCGUAAUAGCUCACUAGUCAAGCGCUCUCGCGCCGAAAAUGAACGGGGCUAAGCGAUGUACCGAAGCUGUGGGAUUACUAAUAAUAAUCGGUAGGGGAGCGUUCCGUCGUAGGUAGAAGCAGUAGCGGCGAGCAGCUGUGGACGAAACGGAAGUGAGAAUGUCGGCUUGAGUAGCGCAAAUGUAUGUGAGAAUCAUACACCCCGAAACCCUAAGGGUUCCAGAGCCAGGUUCGUCCACUCUGGGUUAGUCGGGACCUAAGGCGAGGCCGAACGGCGUAGUCGAUGGACAAAGUGUCAAUAGUCACUUACUAUUCUGUGGGAGCAUAGAUAGGGACGCAUAAAAGAUAACCACACCCUAAUUGGUUUGGGAGGGGUUUACGAACUCCGAGUGGGGAAGGAUAGUGCCAAGAAAAGCUAUGUAUGUGAUGAAAGCAGAAUACCCGUACCCGAAACCGACACAGGUAGGGAGGUUGAGAAUACCAAGGGGCGCGAGAUAACUCUCUCUAAGGAACUCGGCAAAAUGGCCCCGUAACUUC